CUGUGUGCCUGCAGGUAAGAAAAGCUGGGAGUGCAGUCCCUCUGCUUUGCUUGCUGUGUCUCUUGGGUAGUGAUUUUGGAGGGGAAUCCCAGAGCGAUUUGGUUUGAAGGGGACCUUCAAAGGCCACCCUGUCUUCCGUGGGCAGGGACACCUUCCCCUCUCAUCCCCGGUUGCUCCAAGUCCCGUCCAGCCUGGCCUGGAACACUUGCAGGGAUCCAGGGGCAGCCUCAGCUUCCCUGUGCAGUGUGCUCUAAUAUCUCUCCACUGGCAUCCUGAAAAAUGUUGUCAGCGUGUUUUGUUGGACGACGGUAAGCGGGACCUGGGUGAAAAGGACAUUCUCUGAGGUGCUGGGAGAAGGAGGGCUCGUGCGGGCACCUCCAGAGACAGUGGGAACGGGAGCGUGCUGCAGAGAAGGAAAAUUCCAGGGGAAUUGCCACGAGAGGAAAUACUUCAGAGGGGCUUCCCUCCAGAUAAGCCCUGAAUGUGCCAGGAGGUUUCAGCCGGGAGAAAGGAGCUGUGGAAGAAAAGCAGCCUAAAAAUAGCCAGCGGGGAUCAUCAGGUUUUCCAGCCAAGAAAAACCAGGAGGGAGAUGAGGGAAUCGGGUUCCAAUUCCUAAAGAUUUGGUGGGUGUAGGAAUGAUUUCUGUGUGUUUUCCAGUCCCUUUUGAUUCCUGGGAUGAUUUUAAAAUGAUGGCUAAAUUGGAGAUGUUGUUUUUGAGAGGAAAUGAUGCCAAAUAAAUGCAAAGUUUGGGGUCAGUUUU